rnacentral:rRNA from 1 species
CGUGUAGGCGGGCCGCCACGUCGGCUGCUGAAAUCCCCCGGCUCAACCGGGGAACGGGCAUCGAUACGAGCGGCCUGGAGGGGGGUAGGGGGGCCUGGAACUUCCGGUGGAGCGGUGAAAUGCGUUGAGAUCGGAAGGAACGCCCGUGGCGAAAGCGAGGCCCUGGACCCUUACUGACGCUGAGACGCGAAAGCCAGGGGAGCGAACG